GGUAGUUCUUGGGUGACACACCCCAAAAUCAGGCUCCCUCCUUUCUGGUUCCAGUGUGAACCUGAGAACCACC
rfam:Myotis davidii contig20599, whole genome shotgun sequence.